AAGGGAUGGAAAAAUCUGACAAAUAUAUAUAAGGAUAGAGAGUCUCUGCUGCUGUAGCCGAGAGCUCUGCUUUGUAGAGCCUCUGACUCCCCUCCUUGCUUCCCACCCGUGGACACCAUGACAAGACCUUGGGUGCGGUGCAUGACCCUUGGCAUCUCAUCCAGUGGCUUCAGGGGCCUCUUAUCCACUAUGGGCAGUGGGACACUCUGCAGUUGGCUACUGAAAUAGAUAUGCAGGGGACUGGCUUCCUUGGCCUUGCUCAUACCUCUUAGCAGAGGAACAGGGCCAGGAGAAUCAGAAGAAACUAGGGGACUCGCCCUCAGAAAUGUUCCUGAUGAGGCAGUUCCUAGUGGGAGGCCCUUCCACACCAUCCCUCUGGCUGAGGUACCUGGAAUCCAUUCGCGAACACCUAUUAGGAAGCACUGCCCUAAAAGUAUGAUUACAAUGCUAACAACAACCCACAUUCCAUCCUCCUAAAUCCUGCAAACAAAUAACAUAGUAAUAAUGGGGGAGAUGAAACUUGUGGCAAAGACAGCUAUUGUCCCACAAUAUCUAUUUUCUCCCUUCAGAAUGAUUGGACCUGAGCCCUUGAUUUUUAUCUGGGUAUAUAGCCCAUUUCCUAACUCCCCUCUUUGGCCACGAUUCUGUCCCUUAGCUGUCACUUAAAAAACUAGAUGUCUCCUAAGGACAUAGCUUCCCCUGAAGCCCUCUUAAUGAUGGCUCUUUCUUUUUUCCUAUAGGGUCCAAAGGUGGCAUCCAUGCCCUCCUUGCUCGUUAUUGCUGCCACCAGGUCAUUAUUCCUCUCUCCUUCCUAAAAAUCCAGCUCCACUGAAGCACAUGCCUUAAGAUUAUACCAUCUGUUGCCUCCAUUUAUUGCAGUUUUCUACCAUCUUCCUGGUCACUUCUCAUUUAUUGAAGAUUUUAGUCCCUGAGUUUUGGCAUAUCCCUUUACUUACAUUCUUGCCACCAUUCUUGGUGAUUUUAGUACGCACAUCGAGAAUUCAUCAAAUUCUUGGCUUCUCUCGUCCUUGCCCACAUUGUCUCCAUGGUCCUCUUUCCACCACGUGGGACUCAUUAACAGUCAUUCACUCUGGGGAUUGCAUGCUACAGAGGCUGUAACACUACACCCUGAAGUGAGACUACAGUGUUCCUCCAGGAGACAGACAGAAGCUGGUCGUUCGUGAUGCUGAUGAGCUGCCAAACUAAACAGCUCUGGAAUCAACUAGCCUUGGACUUUGUUUGGAACAGGCUGACCACAGGCAGGAAACACACCUACAAGGUAUCCAUCACAGCUGACAGAAGAAUGGAACAAUGUGGUGCCUGGAGCCCAUCAUGCCCGGAGACCAACAUCCUGGACCCCCUCCUUACUGCCCAUUUUCCCUAUAUAACUGCCUCAAGAAUAUGAAAUCCUCAAAGAUGAGUUUUUGAGACAUUAGUCACCUGUCUUCCAAUUAGCCAGCUAAUCUAAUUAAACUUCCUUUCUUGAUGUCUAACUCAUUGUGAUUAAUUGGCUCAGAUCAGGCAAGCAGAGGGAGCCCACUGCUCAGUAUCAGAACAAAGAGCUCACAGUAUGGAGCCAUAAUGGAACUUGAUAUUUAAAGGAUGGGAGCAGCUGCCAGGAGCUAACAAAUGAGACUGGAAAGGAAUGGUCAUACAGAACAGUAAAUCAAGGGCGUGAUCCCCAAAUGAAGAAUGUUUAAGAAGAAAGGCAUAGUCACUUGGUUUGGAU
rnacentral:lncRNA from 1 species